GCCAGGCGAGGUGGCACGUGCCUGUAGUCCCAGCUACUCGGGAGGCUGAGGUGGAAGGUCGCUUAAGCACAGGAGUUCUGGGCAGUAGUGAGCUAUGCCCAUCGGAUGUCUACACUAAGUUCGGCAGCAAUAUGGUGACCUACCAGGAGCUGGGGACCACCAGGUUGCCUAAGGAGGGGUGAACCAGCCCAGGUUGGAAAUGGAGCAGGUCAAAACUCCCGUGCUGAUCAGUAGUGGGAUCGUGCCUGUGAAUAGCCACUGCACUCCAGCCUGGGCAACAUAGGGAGAUGGCGUCUCAA
rnacentral:SRP_RNA from 1 species